ACACGUCCCCUCUCCUUUCGUCUAUCUCUUUCCCCGACCUCCCCUCGCCGCCGCCGCCACUGCCACUGUUGACGCCAACCUCCAGCCACGGCGUUCCUCUCUGACCCGAGCGACGAAGGCACCCCCUUGACCUCGCCUCUGACCAUACCCUAGUGUGUCGCCGCCGCCGCUGCCACUGGCGACGCCAACCUCGAGCCACGAGAUCCCUCUGUCGACCGAGCGAAAAAGGCACCACCGAUGGCGGGUACACGUCGGACACGCACGAGGAUCCGGAAGACCGCAAGCACAAGAAGGAGAUGGUGGACGAGUUGCUGCCGCAGGCCUGGUCCACCUUAUUUCUACACCAGGUUUGAACUUCUCGGUUGCCCCGUUGCUGGAUCCUACCUCGGUCGAGCACCCGGCAAGCAAGGUACGCUCGUACGUCAUAUGAUCUUUGGGCGCGAUCGAAAUAACAUCGAUCACUUGCUGAUGGAGGCACGGCCGAUCAAGGUGUCCAUAAUGGCAGCAUGUGGAUGUGUAUGCCCAUUGCCCCGACCCCUCCUACACGUGCACCUCUGCAGCGAUCUAAAGGAGAUUUUCUCUGAGCUGGAUGACCUGAAGCAAUGCUUGAUUCAGUAUAGUUGAAGCGGCACGUUUACAGGACAUAUGCAGCUCUUUUCACUUUACAUAUGUUAAAUUAUAUUUGGAUGGUGUGGUGUUGUUGCAGCGUUGAGGAAAAAUAAUAGGUUGUAACAUAUGAAAAUAACCAAUACUCCUAGAAUUCCAGCUUAUAGAGGCUAUGGUAGAAAUGUUGAGAGGUAUGUCUGCUAGCUGCAUUAGUUAUUUUAUAAAUUGAGUGGGCAGAAAUUUGGAGAUUCCUGCGUUCUUUCUGUGGGCCAUCCCUUCAUUGGUCUGGCCUAUUUUAUCUAGGACUACCAAGUUAAGAGUAUUUAGA